GCAGUAAAAGUAUUGUAGCAGUAAUUCGGUCAAUUGACCAGAAUGUUACAUAUACAUUGCGCCUAACAGAGUUCAAAAUCCUGAAACCACACAACUGGUUGAACGAGAAGAUUAUUGAAGGCUACAUCCAAAAACUGUUUAAUUCAAAACAUGGAAGAAAAAUAUUUUUGUUCAACCACUACUCCGCUGGUAUUGUUGUGUUUGAUAAGAGGGCUGCAAUGUCUAAACACAGAUUCCGAAAGGUCAACUUACAAAACUAUGAGGCCAUAAUUGGAUUCAUGCAAGUACAACAUAACCACUGGAAAUUUCUGUAUCUCAACAGGACAAUGCAGAAAGUGUUUGUAGUGGAUCCCCAAGGAAGAGAUGAAGUGAAAGAAUCUAAAAUUGCCGCCGCAAGAUUCAGAAGAUACUUCAAAAUGUGGCAGAUAUAUCAUGGUAAAACAGUCUAGGUGGAUGUGCCAUAGACUCAUGGUGUCUUGAACCACAGUCUACAGGAAGAUGGUUGCAGCUGUGGAGUAUAUGUUAUGCAGAUGGUUAAGGAGGUAGUGGAGGCUUUUCCAGUGACACCAUCAGAAAUCGUGAUACAUUCUAGAAUGGACCUCUUGUCAGAGCUGCGUAAAGAGAUGGCUGUAACAAUCCUAGAAGUAUCGGUAUUCAACCCCAAAGAUCACUGCUCCUUUUGUGGAGAAGAGUCUCCUGUUGGAUGUGUGGGCCCGAACACAUGGAGGGACAUCCAGAAGAACUGGACUUAACGGAAGGGAGAUGGUCUGGAGAAAAAGAGAGCAGCAAGAGAGAGGAUAACGCAAACAAAAAGUCAGAAAAAGAAUCAACAACCAAGUGCGACGGGAAAAAAGAAA